GACGAACGCUGGCGGCGUGCUUAACACAUGCAAGUCGAGCGGAAAGGCCCUGCAUUUGUGGGGAGCUCGAGUGGCGAACGGGUGAGUAACACGUGAGUAACCUGUGCUUUACUGUGGGAUAACUUCAUUGAACUGGAGCUAUAAUCGCGUAUGAGCACUUGCUGCAUGGUUGUGGUUGGAAAGAGUCGGCGUUUGGGGACGCACUCGCGGCUUAUCAGUGUGUUGGUGGGGUAGUGGAUUACCAGGGCUUUGACGGGUAGCCGGCUUGAGAGGGUGACAGGCCACAUUGGGACUGAGAUGCGGCCCAGACUCCUUCGGGAGGCAGCAGUGGGGAAUAUUGCACAAUGGGCGGAAGCCUGAUGCAGCAACGCCGCGUGCGGGAUGACGGCCUUCGGGUUGUAACCCGUUUUAGCCUGUGACGAAGCGUGAGUGACGGUAAUGGGUAAAAAAGCACCGGCUAACUACGUG
rnacentral:rRNA from 1 species